AGCGGCGUAGGGAAGCCUGGUAUCCCGCAGGGCUCAUAACCCUGAGGUCCCUGGUUCAAAUCCAGGCGCCGCUA
rfam:Sulfolobus acidocaldarius DSM 639, complete genome.